rnacentral:snoRNA from 1 species
GUGCAUUCAAAAGCCCUUACAUGU